UGGCGUCAGAUGAACGCUGGCGGCGUGCUUAACACAUGCAAGUCGCGCGUGAAAGGACUUCGGUCCGAGUAAAGCGGCGCACGGGUGAGUAACGCGUGGAUGAUCUACCCAUGAGUUAGGAAUAACGGCUGGAAACGGUCGCUAAUACCAAAUACGCUCCGAUUUCAACUUCGGGGGGAAAGGUGGCCUCUGCUUGCAAGCUACUGCUCAUGGAUGAGUCCGCGUCCCAUUAGCUAGUUGGUGGGGUAACGGCCCACCAAGGCGACGAUGGGUAGCCGGUCUGAGAGGAUGACCGGCCACACUGGGACUGGAACACGGCCCAGACUCCUACGGGAGGCAGCAGUGGGGAAUAUUGCGCAAUGGGCGAAAGCCUGACGCAGCGACGCCGCGUGAGGGAUGAAAGGUCCUCGGAUCGUAAACCUCUGUCAGGAGGGAAGAACCGCCACGGUGCUAAUCAGCCGUGGUCUGACGGUACCUCCAAAGGAAGCACCGGCUAACUCCGUGCCAGCAGCUGC
rnacentral:rRNA from 1 species